CAGCAGCCACGGUAAUACGAAGGGGGCUAGCGUUGCUCGGAAUUACUGGGCGUAAAGGGAGCGUAGGCGGGUCGUUUAGUCAGAGGUGAAAUCCCGGGGCUCAACCUCGGAAUUGCCUUUGAUACUGGCGACCUUGAGUAUGGGAGAGGUAAGUGGAACUCCGAGUGUAGAGGUGAAAUUCGUAGAUAUUCGGAAGAACACCAGUGGCGAAGGCGACUUACUGGCCCAUUACUGACGCUGAGGCUCGAAAGCGUGGGGAGCAAACAGGAUUAGAUACCCGCGUAGUCCCUGUCUCUUAUAC
rnacentral:rRNA from 1 species